GAUGCCAAGACAACAUUCUCUCUCUUUUUUUCUUUUUUUCAAAGAACCUGGAACCCGGGAGAUGCUUGAACACGUGGGUGUGUUUUCGUUUGUGUGUAUUUGGGGUCCGCGAGGCUGCAGUUUGCUCUUACAAUACUUGCACAGAAAUUCAUGACUCACAAGGGCAUCCAGUUGGUGUCAUAUACCACAUUUCACUUGUUUGUGUAUCACCUGGAGUUAAUUUCUUAUUUAGAAAACAUCUUGAUAUCCUCCAAACAGAAGCUAUUUCUUUAAAAAGGAGAAGGGUCACGUGUUCCUGUGGUUUGGUUUCCCUCAUAUUGCCUAGUAAGAUCAGGCACAAAGAAACGAUGGAAGAUUCCACCACCACAAAAACAUGAUUUCCCCCAGUGCCUUAUAAUGUCAGCACCAACAAAUAGUCAACAUGAAAUGCUGUGUCUGAGUUGUGAAAGCAGAUCUGAAUGCCUAGCAAAGUGGGCCUGAACCUAAGAGAAGACCUGGAAAAAUAUUUAAUUUUCCCUUCAAACUUGUAUCCACUCUUGACUUACGCUGAGUAUGAGAUGUCAUCAAAAGCACAAGCUGUCAGCACCCUUUGACACUCUGGUAGCUCUUCCACAGGGAGGAAUGGACGUACUGCCCGGCAUACAGUCCUGCAGCCUGUUCUGAGGGCAUCUGGAGGAACACACGGUCCCCCGGCCUGAGCAGCAGCACCGCGCUCCCCGAUGCCUGGUCCAGAAAGCCCUUUUUGUACUCGUCGUAUGUGUACAUCAUGGGCUCGUUGUUCUUGAACAGAGCAACCCACACAUUGCCCCCCUUGCAGUGAACGUGGUAUGCAAAGUAGUAGACACCAGGGACCUCGCAGGUGAAGAUGCCCGUCUGGGGGUUGUAGUUCUGUCUGCCGUUGUAGAGCAGUUUGUCAAACUUCACUGGGGCGCCCACCGGUGGGAAAGGCGCAGUCAGCUCGGCGGUGAAUGCGGGCAUCUCGUAAGCUGGCCCUCCGUGCUUGCCUU